rnacentral:rRNA from 1 species
GACGAACGCUGGCGGCGUGCUUAACACAUGCAAGUCGAACGGUAAGGCCCCUUCGGGGGUCCACGAGUGGCGAACGGGUGAGUAACACGUGAGCAACCUGCCCUUGACUUUGGGAUACCAGCUGGAAACAGCUGCUAAUACCGGAUAUGACCUCUUCUCUCAUGGGUUGAGGUGGAAAGCUCCGGCGGUCAGGGAUGGGCUCGCGGCCUAUCAGCUUGUUGGUGAGGUAAUGGCUCACCAAGGCUUCGACGGGUAGCCGGCCUGAGAGGGCGACCGGCAACACUGGGACUGAGAUACGGCCCAGACUCCUACGGGAGGCAGCAGUGGGGAAUAUUGCACAAUGGGCGCAAGCCUGAUGCAGCAACGCCGCGUGCGGGAUGACGGCCUUCGGGUUGUAAACCGCUUUCAGUAGGGACGAAGCUAACGUGACGGUACCUACAGAAGAAGGACCGGCUAACUACGUG